rnacentral:rRNA from 1 species
UAGGGAAUCUUCCACAAUGGACGAAAGUCUGAUGGAGCAACGCCGCGUGAGUGAAGAAGGGUUUCGGCUCGUAAAACACUGUUGUAAGAGAAGAAUGACAUUGAGAGUAACUGUUCAAUGUGUGACGGUAUCUUACCAGAAAGGAACGGCUAAAUACGUGCCUG